UGCAUCGGCUGGGAAUCGACCCGGGCCGCCCGCCUGGCAGGCUAGCAUUUUACCACUGAACCAUCGAUGC